rnacentral:rRNA from 1 species
UACGGGGGGAGCAAGCGUUGUUCGGAUUUACUGGGCGUAAAGGGCGCGUAGGCGGCGUGACAAGUCACUUGUGAAAUCUCCGGGCUUAACUCGGAACGGUCAAGUGAUACUGUCGUGCUAGAGUACAGAAGAGGCAACUAGAAUUCCGUGUGUAGCGGUGAAAUGCGUAGAUAUACGGAGGAAUACCUGAGGCGAAGGCGGGUUGCUGGGCCAACACUGACGCUGAGGCGCGAAAGCCAGGGGAGCAAACGGG